AGGGGCGUAGCUUAGACGGUAGGCGUUCGCUUUGCAUGCGAGAGGCACCGGGAUCGAUACCUGGCGCCUCCA
rnacentral:tRNA from 1 species